rnacentral:rRNA from 1 species
AGUGAACGCUGGCGGUAGGCCUAACACAUGCAAGUCGAACGGCAGCACAGUAAGAGCUUGCUCUUACGGGUGGCGAGUGGCGGACGGGUGAGGAAUACAUCGGAAUCUACUUUUUCGUGGGGGAUAACGUAGGGAAACUUACGCUAAUACCGCAUACGACCUACGGGUGAAAGCAGGGGAUCUUCGGACCUUGCGCGAUUGAAUGAGCCGAUGUCGGAUUAGCUAGUUGGCGGGGUAAAGGCCCACCAAGGCGACGAUCCGUAGCUGGUCUGAGAGGAUGAUCAGCCACACUGGAACUGAGACACGGUCCAGACUCCUAUGGGAGGCAGCAGUGGGGAAUAUUGGACAAUGGGCGCAAGCCUGAUCCAGCCAUACUGCGUGGGUGAAGAAGGCCUUCGGGUUGUAAAGCCUUUUUGUUGGGAAAGAAAAGCAGCAGGUUAAUACCCCGCUGUUCUGACGGUACCCAAAGAAUAAGCACCGGCUAACUUCGUG